AUGUUUGAGGCCCAGACUCUCAUGGACUUGCUCAUGCUUGUGUUCACGAGAGGCCGUCAACGUAGCGAAAAUGACUGGCGUGAGCUCUUCAUGAAAGCAGGGUUCACCGACUACAAAAUUAUCAAGAAACUCGGUGCACGAGGUGUCAUCGAGGUCUACAAGUGA
rnacentral:rRNA from 1 species